GACGAACGCUGGCGGCGUGCUUAACACAUGCAAGUCGAACGGUGAAGGGACCGGUUUUUGCUGGUUCUGGAUGAGUGGCGCACGGGUGAGUAACACGUGAGUAACCUGCCCCCUUCUUCUGGAUAACCGCAUGAAAGUGUGGCUAAUACGGGAUAUUCUGCGCCUGCUGCAUGGUGGGUGUGGGAAAGAUAUUGUUUCGGUGGGGGAUGGGCUCGCGGCCUAUCAGCUUGUUGGUGGGGUGAUGGCCUACCAAGGCGGUGACGGGUAGCCGGCCUGAGAGGGUGGACGGUCACACUGGGACUGAGACACGGCCCAGACUCCUACGGGAGGCAGCAGUGGGGAAUAUUGCACAAUGGGCGCAAGCCUGAUGCAGCGACGCCGCGUGAGGGAUGGAGGCCUUCGGGUUGUAAACCUCUUUCGCCAGUGAAGCAGGCCUGUCCCUUUUGUGGGUGGGUUGACGGUAGCUGGAGAAGAAGCGCCGGCUAACUACGUG
rnacentral:rRNA from 1 species